rfam:Myotis davidii contig210722, whole genome shotgun sequence.
GGUGGUUCUUGGGUGAUGCACCCCGGAAUCGGGUUCCCUCCUCUCUGGCUCUGGGGUGCAUCACCCGAUUAUCUCC